GAAGCAGGCUACCUUAUCGCCUUGUUUGGAUUCCAAUUCAAUACAAGGAGGAAAGUCCGGACACCGAAGUGCGGCAUAGCGGGUAACGCCCGUCGUCCGUCGGCUUUAUUAGUUGACGGAACAGGACAAGUGCAGCAGAAAGAAUGUACAGGUAAUGCUGUAGUGAAAUCAGGUAAACUCUAUGCGGUGAAACGUCAUGUAAAUCGGUGUUUAAGGGUUGCACGCCCGAGCCGAAGGGUAGGCGGUUAGAUUUCGAUAGUAAUAUCGCGACCAGAUAAAUGAUAAGGAGACCUUUUUGAGGUUUUACAGAAUCCGGCUUAUGGCCUGCUUUUUUU
rnacentral:RNase_P_RNA from 1 species